AUUGAACGCUGGCGGCAGGCCUAACACAUGCAAGUCGAGCGGAUGACGGGAGCUUGCUCCUUGAUUCAGCGGCGGACGGGUGAGUAAUGCCUAGGAAUCUGCCUGGUAGUGGGGGACAACGUUUCGAAAGGAACGCUAAUACCGCAUACGUCCUACGGGAGAAAGCAGGGGACCUUCGGGCCUCGCGCUAUCAGAUGAGCCUAGGUCGGAUUAGCUAGUUGGUGGGGUAAUGGCUCACCAAGGCGACGAUCCGUAACUGGUCUGAGAGGAUGAUCAGUCAAACUGGAACUGAGACACGGUCCAGACUCCUACGGGAGGCAGCAGUGGGGAAUAUUGGACAAUGGGCGAAAGCCUGAUCCAGCCAUGCCGCGUGUGUGAAGAAGGUCUUCGGAUUGUAAAGCACUUUAAGUUGGGAGGAAGGGCAGUAAGCUAAUACCUUGCUGUUUUGACGUUACCGACAGAAUAAGCACCGGCUAACUCUGUGCCAGCCGCCGCGGUAA
rnacentral:rRNA from 1 species